rnacentral:rRNA from 1 species
GAACGAACGCUGGCGGCGUGGAUUAGGCAUGCAAGUCGAACGAGAAAGGGUUCGCAAGGACCCGAGUAAAGUGGCGAAAGGGUGAGUAGUACCUAGUAACCUGCCCUGAAGACGGGGAUAACGUCUCUAACGGGACGCUAAUACCCGAUGUGUCGGCGGCCUCGCAUGGGGUUGCCGGUAAAGAUAGCCUCUGUACACAAGCUUUCACUUCAGGAGGGCCUCGGGCCUAUCAGCUAGUUGGCGGGUAACGGCCACCAAGGCUGGGACGGUAGCCGGUCUGAGAGGAUGGUCGGCCA